rnacentral:misc_RNA from 1 species
AACGCAUAUUGCACUCUCUGGUAUUCCGGAGAGUAUGCCUGUUUGAGGGUCUGUUAAAUAAAAAUCGGGGUUGUUGCUGCUUUUUGUGGUGACGCUUCGGAAUUGGGUAGUCUUACCUUCGGGUUUAAGUGACCUAAAAUUUUACAUGAUUUUUCGAACGUAUUUAAAUCUUUUACGUACGUUUGGUUAUAUCGAAUAUAUUAGGUGUGGUCAUCCUCAUGAUUCACGUCUAUAAUUUUUUUCAUUUUUAGACCUCAAAUCAGGUAAGAACACCCGCUGAACUUAA